ACCGGAGCCUGGAGCCCGCUUUGGCUUCCGUGUCUCCCUCUCCCUCUCUCUCUCAAAAAUAAAUAAACAUCGAAAAAUAAAUAAAUAAAUAAAUAAAUAAAAAAAUAAAAAAAAAAAAAAAAAAGAUGAUUCGCGUGAAACAUGAAGAGUGAGGGGACCAAGCCUCGCAGAAUCGCCGAGGCCCGGGUCGCCAUGUUUCCGGUCCAAGCCGGGACCGGCGCUCCAAGCGAGCUACGGAGCGGCCCACCGAGACGCAAGGUCCUCCGCGCAGCCUAGAGAGGGCACGAAGUUGCCUAGGGGCGGGGCCCGAGGCUCCGGCGGACGCGUGGAGGGCUGGGCGCGCGGAGUUUUGCUGCUCUACUGAGUGUGGGGCGGAAGCUUGUUGCUGAGGGCGGAAGUUUGUUGCUGAGGGCGGACGGUGUGUACUUUACUUUUCUGUUAUCCCCAGCGCCCAAGGGGCCGGUGACCUUCGAUGAUGUGGACGUGGGCUUCGGAAACGAAGAGUGGAAUCGCCUGGACUGCACCCAGAAGGCUCUUUACACGGACUGAUGCUGAAGAAUUAAGGGAAACACCAGCGCGCUGAGAAUCUCUCUACACCCAGCGUGGACCUCUCAAAAUUCCAAGAUCAGAGUUGCAUGUGCCACCGACUGAGCCAGCCAGACGUCCCCAACCCUGGAAUCCCUUUCUUACCACAGGUUGGUUAUACAGUUGGUUUCCGUCAUUGAUAACAGCGACUGACACGUGAGCAUAGAAACUGUUCAUUGUUGAGGUGCCUGGCUGGUAGAGCAUGUGACUUGAUUUUGGGUUCAUGAGUUCAAGCCCCGUGUUGUGCAUGGAACCUACUUAAACAAACAAACCUGUUCAUUGCUGGUGUUUUAACAACAUCCUACCUGAGGGAACACUGGCAACUUGAAACCCAGUUGUGAACACCCUGAAGAAAGAGGAGCAUUGACUGGGAUGGCGUACAACAACCUGUAAAUUCCUAUCACUUUAAAUUGGUCUUUUCUGGGGCGCCUGGGUGGCGCAGUCGGUUAAGCGUCCGACUUCAGCCAGGUCACGAUCUCGCGGUCCGUGAGUUCGAGCCCCGCGUCGGGCUCUGGGCUGAUGGCUCGGAGCCUGGAGCCUGUUUCCGAUUCUGUGUCUCCCUCUCUCUCUGCCCCUCCCCCGUUCAUGCUCUGUCUCUCUCUCUGUCCCAAAAAUAAAUAAAAAACGUUGAAAAAAAAAUUAAAAAAAAAA